rnacentral:rRNA from 1 species
CACGGGGGGAGCAAGCGUUGUUCGGAAUCACUGGGCGUAAAGGGCGUGUAGGCGGUCAGGUAAGUGGGAUGUGAAAUGCCCCGGCUCACCCGGGGAUCUGCAUCCCAUACUGCUUGGCUUGAGUACGGGAGAGGAUGAGGGGAUUCCCGGUGUAGAGGUGAAAUUCGUAGAUAUCGGGAGGAAUACCGGUGGCGAAGGCGACUUUCUGGACGAAUACUGACGCUGAGGCGCGAAAGCGUGGGGAGCAAACAGGAUUAGAAACCCCUGUAGU